rnacentral:rRNA from 1 species
CUACUGGGGUAUCUAAUCCUGUUCGCUCCCCAUGCUUUCGCUCCUCAGCGUCAGUAACUGCCCAGAGACCCGCCUUCGCCACCGGUGUUCCUCCUGAUAUCUGCGCAUUUCACCGCUACACCAGGAAUUCCAGUCUCCCCUACAGCACUCUAGUGUGCCCGUACCCACUGCAAGCUCAGAGUUGAGCCCUGAGUUUUCACAGCAGACGCGACACACCGCCUACGAGCUCUUUACGCCCAAUAAUUCCGGACAACGCUUGCACCCUACGUAUUACCGCGGCUGCUGGCAC